GCCUGACUAAUCUCGCUUGUUAAAAUAGAUUUCUGAGUUUCAUCUCAGACUAAUAGAAUCAUUAUCAGUGGGGUUGGGGUGCUAGAAUCUAGUUUUCGAAACUCUCCUGGUAAUUCAUAUCGCGUAUUUGAGAACCACAGCAUAAGUGUUUCAGCCAUUAUGAUAAUAUCCCAACUUUAGGAAGUUUUCUUCCACUAGAUCUCUCACAGGGCCCUUGAGAGAGUGCCAGGGAGAAAGGAAAUUGUUUCUUUCCUCUUCAUGGAACCUAUGCAAUUACUUAGAAUCUUCUUUAUUUCCCCUUUCACCCAUUCUCCUGACAUAUGCCCAAACCUCUUCUUGAUGGAUCCUCAGGCGACUGUUCCCAUUUGCCUACUCCAGUCUUUCUUGGUUCCCUUCCCUGUCUGACUGACUCACAGGCAAGCCCACACCGUGCUGAUGACCUGGACUAGAAUCCCCCAGAGCCCCCUCCAAAUUGAGCUAGACUCACUCCAUGUUUGGCAGGAUGAGGUUGGCUCACCAGGUCUAUAGUGGCAGGAUGUGCUGGGGCAGGAUGCCAGCAGGUGAUGAGCAAUGACUUAGAGUGACCAUAUGUGGCAGUUUGCUCAGGACAGUCAUACCUUACACCUGUUGUGGGGGCCUGAUUAUUAAUAGUACCCUCUUUCAUUCUCAAAGGGUCCUGGGUUGGACAAUAAAUUACAUGGUCACCCUGGUAAUGAACCUCAUGUCAAGGGCAACUGUUGUGACAUUUUAGACCCUGGAUAAGGCCUAGACUAUCCCUCCUCACCCUCUGCCCCUGACUCCAUGCCAUGGCUCUGUCCUCCCCUGAGAUUUUCUUAAACAACCCAUUGUGGUAUAAUACUUCAGGCCUCCUUAAGGGAUUUCUAGGAGCUAUGAAAUUGUUGCUAUAUUUACUCUCUCUAACAAUAUCUGGAAAAUAUUUUUCUUUGGUUUUAGCACCUGGUAUAGUUGUGUUUCCCUUGUUUAUUAUCCCCAUUUGUUUUUGUCUUCUGGAAACCUGAUUGUGGAACUGACAGUAUUUCCCUUGGCUGUGAGAAAGCUUAGAGCCUUAUAUGUGGUCUCCUUCCGGUCUGUGUAUAAUAUUUAACAGGAUGUAUUUUAUAUAUUUAACUCACUCUUGGCUUACAUUCUGUGUCCCCAUUUCUUUAUGCCUUCAGACUGAAUUUUUCUGGUGCUUUAUUUUAUGUAUAUUUGUAGCCCGUCUUUUUAUCAAUUUUGAAACAAGGCAAAUAUAAAAAAAAGGGUAUGAAUACAUGCCCACAAAAAAAUGGGUACUGAUUGUUAUAUAACUGGAUUAUAUUUAAAUGUAUAGACAAAAUAAUUUCCACACUUAUGAAAUAUAAUUGUAAGCAAUGAGUAGCACUUCAAAUAAUGCUGGCAUUAGCAUUACUCAAUUACAUUAUUAUCUAGCAAGUGAAAUGAUUGCAAACAAAAGCAAACAAACAAGAGAUUAAAUUAAUUUUUAAGCUGGAGUACUUUUAGAUAUGACCCAGAGCCUUGAUACCCAAUAAUGCAACAAAGAACACUCACUUCCAGAUUUACGUAGCCUAAUUUGAUAGCAUUCAUGGUUGUUUACCCUCAAAGUGAAAUCCUAUGCUGUUGGAAAUGGAGAAAGGGAGAGGAAUAGUGAUGGCUGGAGGAAUCAGAUUUGGGAAUGCAUAGUCCAGAUGAUAACAGUGACCCACAAGGAGGAAUUGUGGCGAGAAGCAUGCAGCCCAGAGCAAUCCCCAGGCAAUUGUUCUUCCUGCUGCCCUGGAUAAUGUGGGCCUCCUCCACCCUUCCCGCAAUGCCAUGCUAGCUGUUGGACCUGCAACCCUUGCCUUCCUCUGUGCCCAGACCCACACAAACAGUGAUGAAGCUUCGCAGCCAGAGGUGGGAGAGCCACCACCAGGACAGUGCUAGCAUUGGAACUGGUCCUCCUUUAAGUGUUUAUGGCAGUGGAAACUUGGUCUGUACCCAGAAGAGCCCAAGACGUUGUUUCUUGAGGGCAUACAGCUUUUAAUGACCAUUGAACAAAUGCUACAUGAUUUAGCACUGAGACAAAUGGGAAUACAUCAGCCUUUGUAAGGGGGUGAAGGUGGCUGACAUUUUUGCUUAUAAUCAUGGACUUAUUUGGGUAAACUACGUACUAACGGUUUACAGUUUUAACUUUAUCUUAUUAGAAGGUCUAAAGGGUUUUUGGUUAUAAGCGGAAAAUGUAGAAUGUCUUAAAAAAAAAAAAGGGGGAAAUAAGAGUUUUUUUCACUCUUA